rnacentral:rRNA from 1 species
UACGUAGUGGGCAAGCGUUGUCCGGAUUUAUUGGGCGUAAAGAGCGUGUAGGCGGCUUUGCAAGUCCGUUGUGAAAACUCGAGGCUCAACCUCGAGACGCCGGUGGAAACUGCAAAGCUAGAGUCCGGAAGAGGAGAGUGGAAUUCCUGGUGUAGCGGUGAAAUGCGCAGAUAUCAGGAAGAACACCCGUGGCGAAGGCGGCUCUCUGGGACGGUACUGACGCUGAGACGCGAAAGCGUGGGGAGCGAACAGG